AACGAACGCUGGCGGCAUGCCUAACACAUGCAAGUCGAACGAGACCUCCGGGUCUAGUGGCGCACGGGUGGGUAACGCGUGGGAAGCUGCACUUAGGUAAGGAAUAAUUCCCUGUAAGGGGUGUUAAUACCGGAUAAUGUCUUCGGACAAAAGAUUUAUCGCCUCUGGAUGGGCGCGGGUUGGAUUAGCCAGUUGGUAGGGUAAAAGCCUACUAAGGCGACGAUCCAUAGCUGGUCUGAGAGGAUGAUCAGCCACACUGGGACUGAGACCCAGCCCAGACUCCUACGCGAGGGGGGAGUGGAGAAUAUAGGACAAUGGGCUAGGGCCUGACACCGCAAUGCCGGGUAAGUCAUCAUGGCCUUAGGGUUGUGAAGCUCUUUUACCCGGGGUGAUAAUGACAGUACCGGGAGAAUAAGCACCGGCUAACUCCGUG
rnacentral:rRNA from 1 species